rnacentral:rRNA from 1 species
GACGAACGCUGGCGGCGUGCUUAACACAUGCAAGUCGAACGAAGUGGCGAACGGGUGAGUAACGCGUAAUCAACCUGCCAUUCAGAGGGGAACAACAGUUGGAAACGCCUGCUAAUACCGCAUACUGAGGGAGGGGAUUGCGUCUGAUUCGCUAGUUGGAGGGGAAACGGCCCCCCAAGGCAAGGAGCAGUAGCCGUUCUGGUAGGAUGAAGGGCCAACGUGGGAAGUGGACACGGCCCAGACUCCUACGGGCGGCAGCAGUUGGGAAUCUUCCGCAAUGGACGAAAGUCUGACGGAGCAACGCCGCGUGGGUGAUGACGGCUUUCGGGUUGUAAAGCUCUGUUAAGCGGGACGCGGUACCGGAAUAGAAAGCCACGGCUAACUACGUGCCAGCAGCCGCGGUAAUUC